AAUAACAAUAAAAAUACCUAUAAUUAUUAUAGGUAUUUUUAUAGUAUAAUAUCAUAAAUAAUAAAAUCAUAAUAUCAUUAUAUUAUCCAGGUUUAUACAAUUGUAAUUGCUAUCUCUAAAGCUAUGGUGAUGGUUUAUAUUUUAGCCAAUUUAAAAAUCAACCUGUUAUACACAGGGUAUAUACAAAUGAAAAUAACAUAUUGAAUUCUGGUGUAUUUUUGAAGAACAUUUUUUUUUCAAAAAGUAUUAAAGUUUUUGUGUGCAAGAAAAGAAAACUAAAGAUUUUCAAAUUAAAGAAAAAUAUGCAUCAUGUUUUCGAUAAUAUUUUUGUGUAUCUUUUGGUUUGAUCAAUUUUUACAAUGUUCCCCAUCUAAAUUGGCAGGAAAAAAGUUUAUAAAAAGUAUACAGUUUUAUAGCAAGUUAACAAAUCUACUUUUAACGAAGCUUAAAAUAAAAAGUUUGCAAAAUAGUAUUGCUGUUCCAAAUACAAAUUGCAGAUAUGAUCCAAUACUUUAUGUCAAGCAAGGUUCAAAUUUUAAACCAAACAAACUUACUAUCUGUUGAUCUUCUACUUUGUUUUGAAGUUAUGAGUUCAGAUAAAUAUGUAAAACAUUUAGUUUACAAUUUUUUUUAUGGCUUUUAAGCUCAAACUAGUAACCAAUGAUGUGAUUUAAAAGUUUUAUUUUUACAAAUUUUAAUUUGAAAGGAGAACAACAUACAUUAUUAAAUAAGCUAUAAUUUGAAUGCAUGUAUUUAAAUAUAGGGAAGAUCAAUCACCCCUUUAUAUGUAUAUAUAAAUAUAUAUAUAUAUAUAUAUAUUUUUUUUUUAUAUGUAAGUUUUGAUUUAUAUGUAAGUCUGUACAAAGAUAUAAUUUUAUAUAGCUUUAUAUUUUAUUAAAAGUAUGUUUUAAUUAUAUUUUAAUAUGUUUUAA